GAUAAACGCUAGCGGCAGGCCUAACACAUGCAAGUCGAGGGGCAUCGGGAUGUAGCAAUACAUUGCCGGCGACCGGCGCACGGGUGCGUAACACGUAUGCAACCUACCUUUAACUCUGGGAUAGCCCGAAGAAAUUCGGAUUAAUACCGGAUAAUAUCAAGAUAUGACAUCACAGCUUGAUUAAAGGCGCGAGUUGGUUAAAGAUGGGCAUGCGUCCCAUUAGUUAGUUGGGGAGGUAACGGCUCACCAAGGCGAUGAUGGGUAGGGGCUCUGAGAGGAUUACCCCCCACAUUGGUACUGAGACAGGGACCAAACUCCUACGGGAGGCAGCAGUGAGGAAUAUUGGGCAAUGGACGGAAGUCUGACCCAGCCAUGCCGCGUGCAGGAAGACGGCCUUAUGGGUUGUAAACUGCUUUUAUGUAGGGAAAAAGUUCAUAUUGCGAUAUGAUUUGAUGGUACUACAGGAAUAAGAAUCGGCUAACUCCGUGCCAGCAGCCGCGGUAAUACGGAGGAUUCGAGCGUUAUCCGGAUUUAUUGGGUUUAAAGGGUGCGCAGGCGGACUAUUAAGUCAGUGGUGAAAUUUUCCGGCUCAACCGGGACAGUGCCAUUGAUACUGAUAGACUAGAGUAUAAUUGACGUAUGUGGAAUGUAGCAUGUAGCGGUGAAAUGCAUAGAGAUGCUACAGAACACCGAUAGCGAAGGCAGCAUACGAAGCUAUAACUGACGCUCAUGCACGAAAGCGUGGGGAUCAAACAGGAUUAGAUACCCUGGUAGUCCACGCUGUAAACGAUGAUAACUGGCUUUUAGCGAUAGACAGUUAGAGGCUGAGAGAAAUCAAUAAGUUAUCCACCUGGGGAGUACGACGGCAACGUUGAAACUCAAAGGAAUUGACGGGGGCCCGCACAAGCGGAGGAGCAUGUGGUUUAAUUCGAUGAUACGCGAGGAACCUUACCCGGGCUUGAACGUAAGAUGGAUAUAUCUGAAAGGGUAUAGUCGCAAGACAUCUUAUGAGGUGCUGCAUGGUUGUCGUCAGCUCGUGCCGUGAGGUGUCGGGUUAAGUCCCAUAACGAGCGCAACCCUCAUAUUCAGUUACCAGCACGUGAUGGUGGGGACUCUGGAUAGACUGCCUACGCAAGUAGAGAGGAAGGUGGGGAUGACGUCAAAUCAGCACGGCCCUUACGUCCGGGGCUACACACGUGCUACAAUGGUCGAAACAGAGGGCAGCGAGAGGGUGACCUUAAGCGAAUCUCAGAAAGUCGAUCUCAGUCCGGAUCGGAGUCUGCAACCCGACUCCGUGAAGUUGGAUUCGCUAGUAAUCGCGCAUCAGCCAUGGCGCGGUGAAUACGUUCCCGGGCCUUGUACACACCGCCCGUCAAGCCAUGGAAGCUGGGGGUACCUGAAGAUCGUGACCGUAGAAGGAGCGAUCUAGGGCAAAACCGGUGACUGGGGCUAAGUCGUAACA
rnacentral:rRNA from 1 species